GCUUAUGAUUUUGGAUGAGAUUCAUUUACUUGGAGCUGAUCGAGGACCCAUACUUGAGGUUAUUGUCUCAAGGAUGAGAUAUAUAUCUUCUCAAACAGAGCGGCCAGUUCGGUUUGUUGGCCUGUCAACAGCAUUAGCAAAUGCACACAAUUUGGCUGAUUGGUUGGGUGUCGAUGAAACUGGCCUCUUCAAUUUCAAGCCAAGUGUGAGGCCUGUUCCUCUUGAAGUUCAUAUUCAGGGAUAUCCUGGAAAGUUUUACUGCCCGAGGAUGAAUAGUAUGAACAAGCCCACAUAUGCUGCUAUAUGUACACAUUCACCAACAAAACCAGUUCUAAUCUUUGUCUCCUCUCGUCGCCAAACGAGGCUUACAGCACUGGACCUUAUCCAGUUUGCGGCUUCAGAUGAGCACCCAAGGCAGUUCAUAAGCAUGCCAGAAGAUUCACUUCAAAUGGUUCUUUCUCAAGUCACAGACCAGAACUUGAAGCACACUUUACAAUUUGGAAUUGGAUUACACCAUGCCGGGCUGAAUGAUAAAGACAGAUCAUUGGUUGAGGAACUGUUUGCAAACAACAAGAUCCAGGUG
rnacentral:misc_RNA from 1 species